rnacentral:rRNA from 1 species
CCACCAGCCGCGGUAACACGUAGGCGGCAAGCCUUAUCCGGAAAUAUUGGGCGUAAAGCGCGCGCAGGCGGUUUGUUAAGUCUGAUGUGAAAGCCCACGCCUCAACCGUGGAGGGUCAUUUGAAACUGGGGAACUUGAGUGCAGAAGAGAAAAGCGGAAUUCCACGUGUAGCGGUGAAAUGCGUAGAGAUGUUGAGGAACACCAGUGGCGAAGGUGGCUUUUUGGUCUGUAAAUGACGUGAGGCGCGAAAGCGUGGGGAGCAAAACAGGAUUAGAUACCCUGGUAGUCCACGCCGUAAACGAUGAGUGCUAAGUGUUAGAGGGUUUCCGCCCUUUAGUGCUGCAGCUAACGCAUUAAGCACUCCGCCUGGGGAGUACGGUCGCAAGACUGAAACUCAAAGGAAUUGACGGGGGCCCGCACAAGCGGUGGAGCAUGUGGUUUAAUUCGAAGCAACGCGAAGAACCUUACCAGGUCUUGACAUCCUCUGACAACUCUAGAGAUAGAGCGUUCCCCUUCGGGGGACAGAGUGACAGGUGGUGCAUGGUUGUCGUCAGCUCGUGUCGUGAGAUGUUGGGUUAAGUCCCGCAACGAGCGCAACCCUUGAUCUUAGUUGCCAGCAUUUAGUUGGGCACUCUAAGGUGACUGCCGGUGACAAACCGGAGGAAGGUGGGGAUGACGUCAAAUCAUCAUGCCCCUUAUGACCUGGGCUACACACGUGCUACAAUGGAUGGUACAAAGGGCUGCAAGACCGCGAGGUCAAGCCAAUCCCAUAAAACCAUUCUCAGUUCGAGAUUGUAGGCUGCAACUCGCCUACAUGAAGCUGGAAUCGCUUAGUAAAUC